rnacentral:lncRNA from 1 species
AACUCAAUUAGAAAACCUAUGAUCAUCAUCAUUAUAUAAUAAGAAGAACAAAGACAAGGACAAGUUUGCUAAAACAUAAACUAUAUAGUAUAUAUAUAAAUAGAAUCUGAUCUACCAUAAUCAUGGCAGAAUAAACACCUCCAUAAACUAAAACCUAAAUAUAAAAUACAAAGUGAACCACGGGGGUAGACCCCUUUCAUUCAUAAAUAAUGACGUUAUUACAUACUUUAAAUUUCUAUAUUUCUAUAUCUAUUUGUUUUGUCGAAGGAUGUCCUUUGGAAUCCUGUAAUAAUUAAUCAACACUGCAAAAUAACAAUAAUAAUUAGGGCAUGUUUUUCUUUAAUGUACAAAGACAUAUAUCCAGUUGAAACAACUAGCCAUACAUGAUUUCAAAUGGACAUAUGCAUACAAGAAAGUACUAAACAGCUGCCAAUUAAAACAUUUUCAGAUCAUAUACCCCAAGAUCCAACAUUAAUAGGAGAGAGAGAGAGAGAGAGAGAGAGAGAGAGAGAGAGAGAGAGAGAG